GAUGAACGCUAGCUACAGGCUUAACACAUGCAAGUCGAGGGGUAACGAGAGGAAAGCUUGCUUUCCUUGUCGACGACCGGCGCACGGGUGAGUAACGCGUAUCCAACCUGCCCCCAACUAAGGAAUAACCUUGCGAAAGUAAGACUAAUACCUUAUAAUUUCUUCAGAUGUCAUCUGACGAGGAAUAAAGAUUUAUCGGUUGUGGAUGGGGAUGCGUCUGAUUAGCUUGUUGGCGGGGUAACGGCCCACCAAGGCAACGAUCAGUAGGGGUUCUGAGAGGAAGGUCCCCCACAUUGGAACUGAGACACGGUCCAAACUCCUACGGGAGGCAGCAGUGAGGAAUAUUGGUCAAUGGGCGAAAGCCUGAACCAGCCAAGUAGCGUGCAGGAUGACGGCCCUAUGGGUUGUAAACUGCUUUUAUGCAGGAAUAAAGUUAGCCACGUGUGGUUAUUUGUAGGUACUGUAUGAAUAAGGACCGGCUAAUUCCGUGCCAGCAGCCGCCGUAA
rnacentral:rRNA from 1 species